rnacentral:rRNA from 1 species
AGCCUCUCACGUUUGGGAGGUGAUGCCUGCCCACUGAAAGUUUUAAGGGCCGUGGUAUCCUGACCAUGCAAAGGUAGCAUAAUCAUUUGCCUCUUAAUUAGGGGCUAGAAUGAACGGCUUCACGAGAGAUUCGCUGUCUCCACCGUUGAAAAGUGAAGUUAAUGUUUGAGUGAAAAAGCUCAAAUUCCCUUGGAGGACGAUAAGACCCUAUAGAUCUUUACACUUAUUCUCUCUCAAUGCGGCAGUCAUCGUGAGGGAGUCCACGGUGUUUCGUUGGGGCGACGGGGGGAGCAGAGUAAACUCCCUCUUCUCUAGACAGCAAUUUCUGACGCAUGAUCCAGGUAUGAAUUAAGAACAAGUUACCUUAGGGAUAACAGCGUAAUUCUUCUUGAGAGGCCAAAUCGACAGAAGAGUUUGCGACCUCGAUGUUGGUUCAGGGAACCUUGCUGGCGCAGCAGUAAGCAAAGGCAGUCUGUUCAACUAUUAAUCCCCU